GGCUUAAGAAUCGCAGGUAUAAUUCAAAUUCUAAUUUUACUCUGUUUGUCAUUUGAGAAAAAUGCAGGAAAAUAUUAAUGGACCGGGAACUUAAAAGGUUUGUGGCUUAUGCUCGAAGCAGCGCAAACUUGUUGACCAAACUCAUAUUGCAUGACCAGAUUGAUUUUUAUAAGUGGGAGUGCCUUUCCCGAACUCCUUUGAACAACUACGAUGCCAUAAUUCUUCUCCACAUGGACAAAUUACCUUACCCCCAACGUCUUCUCUAAGAAUCCUGGGUAGGGAAGCUUGUGGCUCGUGGGAAUGCUAGCAAGUUUUUCCAUCCCUUCAUUUUGCCUGGAGACUUGAAGGGGAGCUCAAAGGAAGUGAAAAAUAAGCUAUUGGUGAAGUUUGAUCCAUUGAGGUGCUU